rnacentral:rRNA from 1 species
AGUGGGGAAUUGUUCGCAAUGGGCGCAAGCCUGACGACGCAACGCCGCGUGGAGGAUGAAGGUCUUCGGAUUGUAAACUCCUGUUGCCCGGGACGAAUGGCUCCAACCUAACACGUUGGAGUGUGACGGUACCGGGUGAGGAAGCCCCGGCUAACUCUGUGCCAGCAGCCGCGGUAAUACAGAGGGGGCAAGCGUUGUUCGGAAUUACUGGGCGUAAAGGGCGCGUAGGCGGCCUUCUAAGUCGAACGUGAAAUCCCCGGGCUCAACCCGGGAACUGCGUCCGAUACUGGAAGGCUUGAAUCCGGGAGAGGGAUGUGGAAUUCCAGGUGUAGCGGUGAAAUGCGUAGAUAUCUGGAGGAACACCGGUGGCGAAGGCGGCAUCCUGGACCGGUAUUGACGCUGAGGCGCGAAAGCUAGGGGAGCAAA